UUUUUACGAAGGAAUGGACAUAUACAAAAAAUGGGGCUUCUUGAUCUCCUUCAUGAAGAUUAAACUAAGAGAACCCUUCGGUCAUCCCUUCUUCUUUACAGAAGACACGAUGAGACCUUCUUAUUCAAUGAAGACACAACUAAAAAACCUUGAACACACCCUAGAGAAACCCUAAGAGAACUAUUCUUCUUCAUAACCAAAACUAUAACCAAAAAAAUCCAACAACUCCAUAAACACCCCACAGAGCUACUGCUACCGGAACUCCACCAAGAACCCUAGGCAGUCGUCCGCCGCUAAACACAUCAAACAACCACUCUCAACACUCCUUCCUCUCCAUCAGCGACCACACACCUAUCUUUCACCAAAAGCUCCAUCCCGUCAAAUAUACAAACCUCAGCCGCACCCAUCUCCCAAAAAUAGUGAAGAAAAUAAAAAUAACAAAAAAACAUAUCUAAGAGGGACAGAGGAAGGAGACGAG
rnacentral:lncRNA from 1 species